rnacentral:rRNA from 1 species
UUGGAGGGCAAGUCUGGUGCCAGCAGCCGCGGUAAUUCCAGCUCCAAUAGCGUAUAUUAAAGUUGUUGCAGUUAAAAAGCUCGUAGUUGAAUUUCGGGGUUAGUAGGUUGGUCAUGCCUCUGGUAUGUACUGGUCUCACUGACUCCUCCUUCCUGAUGAACCGUAAUGCCAUUAAUUUGGUGUUGCGGGGAAUUUGGACUGUUACUUUGAAAAAAUUAGAGUGUUUAAAGCAAGCUAACGCUUGAAUACAUUAGCAUGGAAUAAUGAAAUAGGACGUUCGAUCCUAUUUUGUUGGUUUCUAGGAUUGACGUAAUGAUUAAUAGGGAUAGUUGGGGGCAUUAGUAUUCAAUUGUCAGAGGUGAAAUUCUUGGAUUUAUUGAAGACUAACUACUGCGAAAGCAUUUGCCAAGGAUGUUUUCAUUAAUCAAGAACGAAAGUUAGGGGAUCGAAGACGAUCAGAUACCGUCGUAGUCUUAACCAUAAACUAUGCCGACUAGGGAUCGGAUGAUGUUAAUUUUUUAAUGACUCAUUCGGCGCCUUACGGGAAAC